rnacentral:rRNA from 1 species
AUGCCCCCGCGCGUCAAAGUCUUUAUGUGGCUAACCUUGAGGGGGAUCAUUCUUACUAAAGAUAACUUGAUUCAUAGGGUUUGGAUUGGAAAUAAUAGCUGCUCUUUUUGUGGGAGGGAAGAAAAUAUUAAUCAUCUCUUUUUUCAUUGUUCUGUUGUGAGGAUGUUGUGGAUGGUUAUGAAAUGUGCUUUUAACAUGCAUGAUAUUCCUGAUAACAUACAACAGAUGUUGGGAAUAUGGAUAAAUUUUUUAACAAAAAUGAUAGAGAUCUUAUGGUAG